GGGAGGUAAGUUUGAACUACUAUUUUUUUAAUCAUUAUGUCGACUCGGAAUGCACUCGGUUAAAAUUAUUAACACCUCAUAUAGUAGGAUGAUCAAUGUAUGUGUAAGGAAAAUGCACUUAGGCUAUCAUUGAUUUUGUUGAUUGUGUGUCAACACUAACCUAUGGACUAACAACAUUUGCGAGUAUACAAGGUUUAGUCAUAUGGAUGCAAGUGAUUGACUUGGGGAAUCAAACAACAUGGAACAAAAGUCAAAAAGGACAUGUACAAGAUCCUAGAAGAUCUUAAAGCAGAAAGUUGCAAUGGUUGGCAACGGCUAGUUUUUUGAGUUGGGCUAUUUAUACCCAAUUGCUUGGCUUUUUGAAGGGUGUUAGAGCUUGGAGAAGAUAUAGGCUUGAUUCUCACAUACACACAAGUUCUCUAUCCACCAAAGUGCU
rnacentral:lncRNA from 1 species